rnacentral:rRNA from 1 species
CCUACGGGUGGCAGCAGUAGGGAAUAUUGCUCAAUGGGGGAAACCCUGAAGCAGCAACGCCGCGUGGAGGAUGAAUGUUUUAGGAUUUUAAACUCCUUUUGUUAGAGAAGGUUUUGACGGUAUCUAACGAAUAAGCACCGGCUAACUCCGUGCCAGCAGCCGCGGGAACAAGGCGGGUGCCAGCGUUAAUCGGAAUGACUGGGCGUAAAGAGGGCUGAUGGGGGUUAAUGAGUCAGAUGUUAAUUCCUUUAGCUUAAAUAUAGAACUGCAUUUGAAACUGUUAUUCUGGAGUGUGGGCGAGGUAGGUGGAAUACGUGGUGUAGGGGUAAAAUCCGUAGAGAUCAAGAGGAAUACUCAUUGCGAAGGCGACCUGCUGGAACAUUACUGACGCUGAUGCACGAAAGCGUGGGGAGCAAACAGGAUUAGAUACCCUGGUAGUC